rnacentral:tRNA from 2 species
GGACGCUUAGCUCAGUUGGUUAGAGCACCUGCUUCACACGCAGGGGGUCGGCGGUUCGAGUCCGCCAGCGUCCACCA